rnacentral:tRNA from 1 species
CUCUAGGUAGCCAAGUUGGUUUAAGGCGCAAGACUGUAAUGUUUAAACACAAGAUAUCUUGAGAUCGGGCGUUCGACUCGCCCCCUGGAGA